GACGAACGCUGGCGGCGUGCCUAAUACAUGCAAGUCGAACGAACCGCGACUGAGUGCUUGCACUUGGUCAAGGUGAGUGGCGAACGGGUGGGUAACACGUGGGUAACCUACCUCAUAGUGGGGGAUAACAGUCGGAAACGACUGCUAAUACCGCAUAGGACAUAGGAUCACAUGAUCCAGUGAGGAAAGGUGGCGCAAGCUAUCGCUAAGAGAUGGACCCGCGGUGCAUUAGCUAGUUGGUAGGGUAAAGGCCUACCAAGGCGAUGAUGCAUAGCCGACCUGAGAGGGUGAUCGGCCACAUUGGGACUGAGACACGGCCCAAACUCCUACGGGAGGCAGCAGUAGGGAAUCUUCCGCAAUGGACGCAAGUCUGACGGAGCAACGCCGCGUGAGUGAAGAAGGUCUUCGGAUCGUAAAGCUCUGUUGUUAGAGAAGAACAGCGCAUAGAGUAACUGCUAUGCGUGUGACGGUAUCUAACCAGAAAGCCACGGCUAACUACGUG
rnacentral:rRNA from 1 species